rnacentral:miRNA from 1 species
AUGUACCUCCCUGACCGGAAGGUUUUCCUUCCGGUCAACAAGGAUGUACCUCGUUGAUCGGAAGGAAACCCUUCCGAUCAGGGAGGUACAU